UUAAAUUGAAGAGUUUGAUCAUGGCUCAGAUUGAACGCUGGCGGCAGGCCUAACACAUGCAAGUCGAACGGUAACAUCACU
rnacentral:rRNA from 1 species